rnacentral:rRNA from 1 species
CCCUUAGAUGUUCUGGGCCGCACGCGUGCUACACUGAGUAAAUCAAUGGGUAAGGGAACACGAAAGUGCAACCUAAUCUUGAAAUUUGCUCGUGAUGGGGAUCGACGGUUGCAAUUUUCCAUCGUGAACGAGGAAUACCUUGUAGGCGCGUGUCAUCAUCACGCGCCGAAUACGUCCCUGCCCUUUGUACACACCGCCCGUCGCUCCUACCGAUUGAGUGAUCCGGUGAGGCUCUGGGACCUGGACGGAAAGAGCGUUUCGCUUGUUCUGUUUGGGAAACUUGGUCGAACCUUAUCAUUUAGAGGAAGGAGAAGUCGUAACA